CAGUAAUUCAAAAUUUACAGUAAUGCAGUAAUUGUUUACAAUAUAUAUUCAUUCAUUGGCUUAUCUUUCUCUAGAGAGUAAGGCCAUAACUAUAAACAUAACCCAUCACUGACUGAGUACUCAGGAGAAUAUAUUCCUCUCUUGUGCAGUUGUAGUUUUUACAUCCAUGAGCAGUGGACUUCUCCUUAUGGCAAACUUAUUUAGACAUAGAUCAUUUUAAAGGCAAGCAAUAAGUGACUUAAUAUUCUCAGGUUAUUCAGCUGGGUAUGUAAAUUUAGCUUGAUUUUUGUGCAAGUCUCUCUGUAGAGAUUUACAAUGAUGAGUAUUUGAAAUAUCUGUGGAUCAACCUGCCAGUUUUGGCUUCUCUAGUUCCAGGGGAACUUGUGGGGAGGAAAGGAUGGAUAGUACUGUAGCUAGAAGGCUAAAACAGGAUCAGAAGGGAAACAAUUACAAGCCAACGUAGAAAACUUGGGCUCUUCCUCACUUUUGUCCACCUGUAUCUGGUGCAUCCAAUAUGCCUUUGACUGGUGCAUUGAAGAGCAAGUCUCAUGAAUUUGAUCAAAGAACUAAUUUAUUUUCUUUCCCAUAUUAUUCUGGAUACUUAGCUCAAGAGACAUGAACUAGUUUUUCUCCUAACUCUGAGAAGAGCUUGGACAAACCAAUAACUUUUCUGAUCUCGUAAUCUACUCAACAUCCUGCAGUCAAUUUUAAUCACAAAGCAGACAUUUCAGUACACGGAUUAUUCGAUUCCAUGGAAGAGUCAAAUUUAUUUACAGUUAGAGCUACUUUCCUGGGUUCCUCAGCUAGAGAUCAUUGCAGUGGGUGAUAGAUAUGUGACAGCAUGUGCUACAUUUCAUUAUAUUAUAAAGGGAGAAUUGCUCUUCGAUUGCAUGAAAAUAUUUACUGAACAGUUCCAUCUUGGGGUUGUUAAGCUGAGGCUCAUUUAUCUUCCUGCUUUCUGUAAGCCAGGCGAAAGAGUAUCAUCUCCUUACAGGUACAGUUUUAUUUCUUCAUAUAUUUUUUUCUCUCCUCACAGUCC
rnacentral:lncRNA from 1 species